rnacentral:tRNA from 1 species
GAAGCUUGCUGGUUCUGAGCAUCCCGACUUAUAAGUCGGGAGGGUCGGGGGUUCGAACCCCUCAGCUCCA